rnacentral:rRNA from 1 species
AGUGGAUCCUGAGUACGGCGGAACACGUGAAAUUCCGUCGGAAUCCGGGAGGACCAUCUCCCAAGGCUAAAUACUCCCUAGUGACCGAUAGUGAACCAGUACCGUGAGGGAAAGGUGAAAAGCACCCCGGAAGGGGAGUGAAACAGUUCCUGAAACCGUGUGCCUACAAGUAGUUAGAGCCCGUUAAUGGGUGAUAGCGUGCCUUUUGUAGAAUGAACCGGCGAGUUACGAUUUGUUGCAAGGUUAAGCGGAAAAAGCGGAGCCGUAGCGAAAGCGAGUCUGAAUAGGGCGCAUAAGUAACAGGUCGUAGACCCGAAACCAGGUGAUCUACCCAUGUCCAGGAUGAAGGUAAGGUAAUACUUACUGGAGGUCCGAACCCACGCACGUUGAAAAGUGCGGGGAUGAGGUGUGGGUAGCGGAGAAAUUCCAAUCGAACUUGGAGAUAGCUGGUUCUCUCCGAAAUAGCUUUAGGGCUAGCCUCGAGGUAAAGAGUCAUGGAGGUAGAGCACUGUUUGGACUAGGGGCCCUUCUCGGGUUACCGAAUUCAGAUAAACUCCGAAUGCCAUGUACUUAUACUCGGGAGUCAGACUGCGAGUGAUAAGAUCCGUAGUCGAAAGGGAAACAGCCCAGACCACCAGUUAAGGUCCCCAAAUAUAUGUUAAGUGGAAAAGGAUGUGGGGUUGCUUAGACAACCAGGAUGUUGGCUUAGAAGCAGCCACCAUUGAAAGAGUGCGUAAUAGCUCACUGGUCGAGUGACCCCGCGCCGAAAAUGUACCGGGGCUAAACAUAUUACCGAAACUGUGGAUGAACCUCUUCGGAGGUUCGUGGUAGGAGAGCGUUCUAAGGGCGGUGAAGUCAGACCGGAAGGACUGGUGGAGCGCUUAGAAGUGAGAAUGCCGGUAUGAGUAGCGAAAGAAGGGUGAGAAUCCCUUCCACCGAAUAUCUAAGGUUUCCUGAGGAAGGCUCGUCCGCUCAGGGUUAGUCGGGACCUAAGCCGAGGCCGAUAGGCGUAGGCGAUGGACAACAGGUAGAGAUUCCUGUACCAGUGCUAAUUGUUUAACCGAUGGGGUGACACAGAAGGAUAGGGAAUCGCACGAAUGGAAAUGUGCGUCCAAGCAGUGAGUGUGA